UAGAGGGUGAGAAUCCCGUCUGGGAUGGGCGGCCGCGCCCGUGUGAAGCUCCUUCGACGAGUCGAGUUGUUUGGGAAUGCAGCUCUAAGCGGGUGGUAAAUUUCAUCUAAAGCUAAAUACUGGCCGGAGACCGAUAGCGCACAAGUAGAGUGAUCGAAAGAUGAAAAGCACUUUGAAAAGAGAGUUAAACAGCACGUGAAAUUGUUGAAAGGGAAGCGUUGUCCACCAGACUCGCCCGGGGGGGUUCAGCCGGCACGUGUGCCGGUGUACUCCUCUCCGGGCGGGCCAGCAUCGGUUUGGGCGGCUGGUGAAAGGCCCCGGGAAUGUAACACCCUUCGGGGUGCCUUAUAGCCCGGGGUGCCAUACAGCCAGCCUGGACCGAGGCCCGCGCUUCGGCGAGGAUGCUGGCGUAAUGGUGGUCAACGGCCCGUCUUGAAACACGGACCAAGGAGUCUAACAUCUAUGCGAGUGUUCGGGUGUCAAACCCGUCCGCGCAGUGAAAGCGAACGGAGGUGGGAGCCCCUCGGGGCGCACCAUCGACCGAUCCUGAUGUCUUCGGAUGGAUUUGAGUAAGAGCAUAGCUGUUGGGACCCGAAAGAUGGUGAACUAUGCCUGAAUAGGGCGAAGCCAGAGGAAACUCUGGUGGAGGCUCGCAGCGGUUCUGACGUGCAAAUCGAUCGUCAAAUUUGGGUAUAGGGGCGAAAGACUAAUCGAACCAUCUGGUAGCUGGUUCCUGCCGAAGUUUCCCUCAGGAUAGCAGUAACGACAUCAGUUUUAUGAGGUAAAGCGAAUGAUUAGAGGCCUUGGGGUUGAAACAACCUUAACCUAUUCUCAAACUUUAAAUAUGUAAGAAGCCCUUGUUGCUUAGUUGAACGUGGGCGUUAGAAUGAAACGUUACUAGUGGGCCAUUUUUGGUAAGCAGAACUGGCGAUGCGGGAUGAACCGAACGCGAGGUUAAGGUGCCGGAAUGCACGCUCAUCAGACACCACAAAAGGUGUUAGUUCAUCUAGACAGCCCGACGGUGGCCAUGGAAGUCGGAAUCCGCUAAGGAGUGUGUAACAACUCACGGGCCGAAUGAACUAGCCCUGAAAAUGGAUGGCGCUCAAGCGUGCUACCCAUACCUCGCCGUCGGGGUAGAAACGAUGCCCCGACGAGUAGGCAGGCGUGGGGGUCCGUGACGAAGC
rnacentral:rRNA from 1 species